rnacentral:rRNA from 1 species
CGGACCGGCGCACGGGUGAGUAACACGUAUCCAACCUGCCGUCUACUCUUGGACGGCCUUCUGAAAGGAAGAUUAAUACAAGAUGGCAUCAUGAGUCCGCAUGUUCACAUGAUUAAAGGUAUUCCGGUAGACGAUGGGGAUGCGUUCCAUUAGAUAGUAGGCGGGGUAACGGCCCACCUAGUCUUCGAUGGAUAGGGGUUCUGAGAGGAAGGUCCCCCACAUUGGAACUGAGACACGGUCCAAACUCCUACGGGAGGCAGCAUG